GACGAACCGUGCGAACGUUGUUCGGAAUCACUGGGCUUAAAGGGCGCGUAGGCGGGCGGCAUAGUCCGGGGUGAAAUCUUUCGGCUUAACCGGAAGACGGCCCCGGAUACUGGUCGCCUGGAGGGGGGUAGGGGCCGUUGGAACUUCCGGUGGAGCGGUGAAAUGCGUAGAGAUCCGGAGGAACACCGAAGGCGAAGGCAGUGUCCUGGCUGGUGACUGACGCUGAGGUGCGAAAGCUAGGGGAGCGAACGGG
rnacentral:rRNA from 1 species